rnacentral:rRNA from 1 species
UACGUAGGGGGCAAGCGUUGUCCGGAAUUAUUGGGCGUAAAGCGCGCGCAGGCGGUCGAAAUAGUCUGGGGGUUAAUCCUGGCUCAACCCCGGGUCACCCUGGAAACUGUUCGACUGGAGGACAGAAGAGGAGAGUGGAAUUCCACGUGUAGCGGUGAAAUGCGUAGAGAUGUGGAGGAACACCAGUGGCGAAGGCGACUCUCUGGACUGUGACUGACGCUGAGGUGCGAAAGCUAGGGGAGCAAACGGG